CGGAUUUUCCUAUAUUUCAAGAUUUCCAAAUCAAAGCAAAGACAAGUGAUAACCUUUUUUUGUCAGGUGAACUGCCAACUGGGCUUCAAAGGCCCAACCAGCUAUGCUAUUCCAAAGGAUGCCAUUCAGAGAAAUGAAAGAAACAGUUGAUCAGAUUGAUCCUAUCGUGAUUCAACGCCCACAUAGCGAACUCUCUGUUUUAAUAAUAAUUAUUUCCAAAGCAGAGCACCAAAGCAAUGCACACCUUGACCUCAGGUUUUGGCUUCUGGAAGCCCCUACUGCCUUGACAUUUAGCCCCCACAAUUUUAUACAACAAGAAAGAACAACAAAUAUUAAUAAUUCAGAGUCGAGAUAGCAAAAGUUAUAAAUUCAAUCAAUCAAAACAAGAACAGUCGAAUACAGAAGCAAAUUGCUCAAAUAAUGAGCUAUUUUAAAAUUUUGCUUCAAAUAAUGAGCUAAUUUAAAAAAAAAAUGAAAAAUAAAAAUGAUUUUCAUCAACAACACUCGGAGGAUGACGUCAUAGAUAUCCAUUUAAACAAACUUAACCAAAAAGUCCAAGCACAUCGACAACAGUUAAAAAGUCAAAGAAAGAUCGGUUUUUUACCUGCCUUGGUCAACCCAACAAAACGAGGGGUAAGCCCCAAUUCUGAAUUCAAUCAACGAUCUGGUUCUUAUAGGCCCAGAAGAAAAGAACUAACUAACAAAUAAUUAAUAAUAAUAAAUCAGAAAUAAGAAAUCUUGGUGAAUUUAAUUAAUUGCAAAGGCCCCGGCGUUCAUCAUUUUUCAUCAGAAAUCGGAGAAUUACGUGGACGAUAUAGAGGAGGAAUUAAUGUUGAUCGACCGAUAGAAAUAUUCUGCUAGGGUUCUUAUAUGAGCGAAUGGGGAACUGCUGAUGCUGCCGCUGCUGCUGCUGCUGCUGUACUUUUGAUUAAUUAAUUGGGAACCCGAAGCUGACGAGGGUAUUUGUGAAAUAAUGUUUGUGGAUUAUGGUUAUUUUAGGUAAUAUAUCAAGCCGAUUCCUUCUGGCACACAUUUUUCUUCGGCUAAUAUUCCACAUGGCGUGGCAUCUUAAUUGAAAUUGAAUCCGACCCCCACUGAUGGCCAUUAUUUUGGAAUUUUUUGAAAAAUACAUGAUUAAAAAAUAGAGAAUUUUUUUUGAUUUACGUACAAAAUAUUUUAUUAUGUAAAUAAGUAGUUAAAAAUUAAUAUAAAAAUUAAAGAAUUUCAUUUUAAAGGAAAAUAUUUAUUACCGAAGAAGUCUUAAUUUCAAAAAGUAUUAGGAAUAAAAUAUAGAAUCGAAUAUUGAUUCUUAAAUCAAAAUCAUGGGUACGUUAUGCUUUUUAAAAAGAAUGAUUUUUUGUUAGUUUUAGUGCUUGUAGAAUUUCGUACUUUAUUGCUGAUUUAUAAUUUUUUAUUUGUUCUUUAGGUUCGUAAUUUGGUGUUUAUAUUUGUUAGGUAUUAGAUACUAUUCGGUGGUACAUUUUGUUAGAUAUUGAAUACUUUGCAGCAUAAUUGUAGUGGAUUAAAAAAUUGUUGAAAUUUGUACUUUGUGACAUUUUAUUCAGUUUAUUUUUGUUAGAUAUUGAGAAGACAAUUGUAUCGUAAUUUCAUAUUUUACGAGUAAAAACUUUUAUAGGUAGAAUCAGAAUCGACGAUUCAAGAUCUAUCCCAGUAACUAUGCGAAUCCAAAUGACUUCGUUUAUGAAAUACUCAAAACGUAAUAAUUAAUUUUAAGUAUUGAAACAUCAUGAUUGACCCACUCGAUGUACAAUCCUAAUAUGGACAUCACCAUGUGAAACCAAAUUUUAAUUACGGAUAUUGUAAUAUUUAUAUCAUCAACUUUAUUAUUACAUAAUUUACAUUCUUAUCAGCAAUAUCUCAUUACAUUAUGUUAGUGAUUAUUUUCAUAUGUUUAGAUAGAGUAAAAACGCUUAAAGGAGUGUUCAAGUAAAUUAUUUAACAACUUUUUUGGAAGAAAAUAAAUCUCAUGAAUUGCGGUUGAUAAAUAGUAAUACUUGUGAAUGUAAGUUGAAAUUAACAUUUCAUUUUGGCUGACUAGAAAAGUGAAUUAAUACUUUAAUGUCAACGAACAUUGGCUUAAUUGUUCGUCGUGCUUUUAAAUAAGCAUAAAAAUCAAACACAAACAAACACAUGAUUAAAUAUUUGUCUUUCAUUUUAAAGUAUAUUAACAAAAUUUUUGGACGAUAUUUGUCAUAGGAGCAAGAUAUGCUUGUUAAUAGAAGAUUAAUGAUAAAUUAUAAUUACAAUCUUGACCUAAAAGGUAUUAAUAAGCAAAAAAUGCUUAUUUCGCAUGUAAUUUUUUGACUCCAAAGCUUAUUUAAAUAUUUUAAUUAUUUCAAUUUAAAUUUGGCUGAUUUUUGCACUAUUGUAGCAAGUAUUGUCACUGAAACACACCAACAAAUUUAUUUAAUGGAUUAACUAAUAUUUGGUGACUUAAUCGAAAUAUUUUUUUGAGUCUUGUGCCCAUUUGUUCUAAGAAAAAAAGGUUGAAUGAUUAACCUUUUAUUCUCCUUGAAGAACAUACAUAAAAAUUAAUUUCCUUUUGUGUACAAUUUAUUUUUAGUUACUUGAACAAUAUCUCAAUAGCCAAUGCAGUACAUGAUCACAUCAUACACAAGAAGCUUCUACAGCUAAACUCUUUGUAACCCCUUUACAUGGAUCACCAAACUUAUUGAUUGAGACUCCAAUGCGGCAGCUUCUUGAUCCAAUGCAAGCCUGGGAAAAAAAUUAUGCAAUUGCGAACGAGUAAGAAAGCGCAAAAAUAAUCUUAAAUUCGAAAAGACGCGCUAGACUUUGUUGAAAGAAUCAGUUCGUUACCUUUUGUAUGGCAGGAAGAGCCUGUUUGCUGCUGCAUUGGCCGUGGCUAAAACUUCCACAUGUUCCCUGAGGAGUGCCAAAGCUUGCGAACUUGAUAGAAGUUAUGACCUGAUCUGGAUGAGGACAUUCUAACGAGAGAGUUGGUCCGGCUUUCUUUCUUGCUUCUUCGUCUGAUAAAAGACUUACACUUCAGCUACCCCCACUUUACCCUCAGACUGUUGCACCCCCUAGCAAGCAACUUACACUCAGAUGUUUUAUUUUUCCUAUCGUGAUUAAAAUUUUCAAUAUUUAACACAUAACAACUCGUGUUCGACCAAAUAAGGGUACAGAGUAUAUAUUUUUAAUCACAAAUAAGAAUAAACAAAAGUACAGGAUUCUAAAAGUAUAUAUGUACUUGAGCAUUUGAUUGAUCGCUUUACUAGUUAUUUUUUUUAUUUUUUUUCUCUUUUUUCCUUGAUUGAGGAGGGGUGUAUACUUCUCAUGAGAAAAAAUUUCCAGGUGAUAGUGAUGUAAAGAUAAAACAACAUUUAUUCUGCAAUUUACCUCGGAGCGAAUCAGAUUAUGUGUUUCCUUAACAGGAUAUUCCCUGCAAAUUAAUCCAUGCUGCAUCCUGUACAUGAGAAUCUCCUCUGAACGUUUAAUCGGGCUUCGGAAUUCACAAUCAUCCCCAUUAUAAAAAGGUCCUUCCUCAUCUUCCACAGCCUCAGCCAACAAGGACUCCUGUGAGGCGUGAUUACCCAAACCCCUGCCGGGCAUCAUCACCUUCUUGGGCUUCCUCAUGAAUGAGAACCCAAAACACCCACAGCAGCCCAUUUCUGUCACACUUUCAAACGAAUUUCUCUUGACAAAUACUACAAUACGAAAACCUUUGUGCAAAACAGACCCAAAAUUUAAAAUAUCGAUCCAAAACCUGAAGAACAAAAGCCAAUAAUCAAAUCUAUGCAUUAAAAUGAACACUUCUGUUUAACAACUGACAACAAAACCAAUAAUAAAAAGUAUUAUAGCGACAUCUAGCAGCAUGAAAUUGGAACUGAUUCAAUUAAAAUUCAAGUUAUUUAGCAAUAUCUCAAUUAGAGAAAGGUUUGAAAACCGGAUUUUCCUAUAUUUCAAGAUUUCCAAAUCAAAGCAAAGACAAGUGAUAACCUUUUUUUGUCAGGUGAACUGCCAACUGGGCUUCAAAGGCCCAACCAGCUAUGCUAUUCCAAAGGAUGCCAUUCAGAGAAAUGAAAGAAACAGUUGAUCAGAUUGAUCCUAUCGUGAUUCAACGCCCACAUAGCGAACUCUCUGUUUUAAUAAUAAUUAUUUCCAGAGCAGAGCACCAAAGCAAUGCACACCUUGACCUCAGGUUUUGGCUUCUGGAAGCCCCCACUGCCUUGACAUUUAGCCCCCACAAUUUUAUACAACAAGAAAGAACAACAAAUAUUAAUAAUUCAGAGUCGAGAUAGCAAAAGUUAUAAAUUCAAUCAAUCAAAACAAGAACAGUCGAAUACAGAAGCAAAUUGCUCAAAUAAUGAGCUAUUUUAAAAUUUUGCUUCAAAUAAUGAGCUAAUUUAAAAAAAAAUGAAAAAUAAAAAUGAUUUUCAUCAACAACACUCGGAGGAUGACGUCAUAGAUAUCCAUUUAAACAAACUUAACCAAAAAGUCCAAGCACAUCGACAACAGUUAAAAAGUCAAAGAAAGAUCGGUUUUUUACCUGC
rnacentral:lncRNA from 1 species